rnacentral:rRNA from 1 species
UAAUACAUGCAAGUCGAGCGGACCGACGGGAGCUUGCUCCCUUAGGUCAGCGGCGGACGGGUGAGUAACACGUGGGUAACCUGCCUGUAAGACUGGGAUAACUCCGGGAAACCGGGGCUAAUACCGGAUGCUUGAUUGAACCGCAUGGUUCCAAUCAUAAAAGGUGGCUUUUAGCUACCACUUACAGAUGGACCCGCGGCGCAUUAGCUAGUUGGUGAGGUAACGGCUCACCAAGGCGACGAUGCGUAGCCGACCUGAGAGGGUGAUCGGCCACACUGGGACUGAGACACGGCCCAGACUCCUACGGGAGGCAGCAGUAGGGAAUCUUCCGCAAUGGACGAAAGUCUGACGGAGCAACGCCGCGUGAGUGAUGAAGGUUUUCGGAUCGUAAAACUCUGUUGUUAGGGAAGAACAAGUACCGUUCGAAUAGGGCGGCACCUUGACGGUACCUAACCAGAAAGCCACGGCUAACUACGUGCCAGCAGCCGCGGUAAUACGUAGGUGGCAAGCGUUGUCCGGAAUUAUUGGGCGUAAAGCGCGCGCAGGCGGUUUCUUAAGUCUGAUGUGAAAGCCCCCGGCUCAACCGGGGAGGGUCAUUGGAAACUGGGGAACUUGAGUGCAGAAGAGGAGAGUGGAAUUCCACGUGUAGCGGUGAAAUGCGUAGAGAUGUGGAGGAACACCAGUGGCGAAGGCGACUCUCUGGUCUGUAACUGACGCUGAGGCGC